UCUAGUUUAUCCUGCUAGAGGCUGCGGCUAUUUGGAUUCCAUUAAGCCAUGCAAGUCAUCUCCCGCAAGGGGGAGGCGAACUGCUCAGUAACACGUAGUCAAUCUACCCUAAGAUCGAGGAUACCCUCGGGAAACUGAGAUCAAAACUCGAUAGACAAAGGAGGCUGGAAUGCGCCUUUGUUGAAACGUAAGGUCCUAGGAUGAGACUGCGGCUGAUUAGGUAGUUGUUGAGGUAACUACUCAACAAGCCAAUUAUCAGUAGGAGCUCUUAACGGAGGGGCUCCGAGAGGAAAUCUGAGACACUAUUUCCAGCUCUAUGGAGUGCAGCAGGGAGGAAAAUUCUCCAAUGUUCGAAAGAAUGAGAGAGGAAUCCAAAGUGCUUCUCAUUUCGAGAGGCUUUUGUCUACUUUAAAAAGGCAGGCGAAUAAGGACUGGGCAAGACUGGUGCCAGCCGCCGCGGUAAUCCCAGCAGUCCGAGUCGUGGCCACAUUUAUUAGGUCUAAAACAUUCGUAGCUGGUUUUUCAAGUUCUUUGUGAAAUUGUUGCACUCAAUGCAACAGCGUGCAAGGGAGACUGAAAGACUAGAGACUGGGAGACGUAACGAGUACAUUCAAGGUAGCGGUAAAAUGUUUUAAUCUUGGAUGGACUGACUAUGGCGAAGGCACGUUACGAGAACAGAUCUGACAGUGAGGAAUGAAGGCCCGGGGCGCAAAAUGGAUUAGAUACCCAUGUAGUCCGGGCAGUAAACACUGAUUACUAAACAUUGUGCCGUCCUCGAGAUGGUGCAGUGCUGAAGGGAAGCUGAAGAGUAAUCUACCUGGGGAGUAUAGCCGCAAGGCCGAAACUUAAAGGAAUUGGCGGGGGGACACACAAGGGGUGACGCGUGCGGUUCAAUUAGAUUCUACACCGUGAACCUUACCAGGAGCGACAGCAGGAUGAAGGUCAGUCUAAAGGGCUUACCUAACACGCUGAGCGGAAUUGCAUGGCCGUCGUAAGCUUGUGCCGUGAGGUGCCCUGUUAAAUCAGGUAACAAGCGAGACCUGCAUGCAUAAUUGCUACCCGGAGAGGGAGCACAUUAUGCGGACCGCUCCCGCAAGGGAGAGGAAGGCGCAGUCAACGACAGGUGAGUACGGUCCUAAUCCCCUGGGCUACACGCGCGCGGCAAUGCUAUGCUCAAUGAGAUGCAACACCGAAAGGUGAAGCAAAUCCCACAAAACAUAGCCUAGUUCAGAUUGAAGUUUGCAACCUAACUUCAUGACGCUGGAAUCCCUAGUAAUCGGAUGUUAGCAGCGUCCGGUGAAUAAGUCACAGUUCCUUGCACACACUGCCCAUCAAACCAUCUGAGUCAGAUUUGGGCGAGGCUCGUUAAGGGACGAGCCCAAGUUCGACAAAGAAGGUUAAGUUGUCACAAGGUA
rnacentral:rRNA from 1 species